GAUGAACGCUGGCGGCGUGCCUAAUACAUGCAAGUCGAGCGAACAGAUGAGGAGCUUGCUCCUCUGACGUUAGCGGCGGACGGGUGAGUAACACGUGGAUAACCUACCUAUAAGACUGGGAUAACUUCGGGAAACCGGAGCUAAUACCGGAUAAUAUAUUGAACCGCAUGGUUCAAUAGUGAAAGACGGUUUUGCUGUCACUUAUAGAUGGAUCCGCGCCGCAUUAGCUAGUUGGUAAGGUAACGGCUUACCAAGGCAACGAUGCGUAGCCGACCUGAGAGGGUGAUCGGCCACACUGGACCUGAGACACGGUCCAGACUCCUACGGGAGGCAGCAGUAGGGAAUCUUCCGCAAUGGGCGAAAGCCUGACGGAGCAAGGCCGCGUGAGUGAUGAAGGUCUUCGGAUCGUAAAACUCUGUUAUUAGGGAAGAACAAAUGUGUAAGUAACUAUGCACGUCUUGACGGUACCUAAUCAGAAAGCCACGGCUAACUACGUG
rnacentral:rRNA from 1 species